CCUACGGGUGGCAGCAGUGGGGAAUAUUGGGCAAUGGAGGCAACUCUGACCCAGCAACGCCGCGUGAAUGAUGAAGGUCUUCGGAUUGUAAAGUUCUGUGAUGGGGGAUGAACACAAUGACGGUACCCCACUAGCAAGCCACGGCUAACUACGUGCCAGCAGCCGCGGUAAUACGUAGGUGGCAAGCGUUAUCCGGAAGGACUGGGCGUAAAGGGAGCGUAGGUGGUUUAGUAAGUUGGCGGUGUAAUUCCGGGGCUCAACCUCGGCGCUACCGCCAAAACUAUUAGACUAGAGUGCAGGAGGGGUAAGUGGAAUUCCUAGUGUAGCGGUGGAAUGCGUAGAUAUUAGGAGGAACAUCAGGGGCGAAGGCGACUGACUGGACUGUAACUGACACUGAGGCACGAAAGCGUGGGGAGCAAACAGGAUUAGAUACCCUUGUAGUC
rnacentral:rRNA from 1 species